AAUCUGCCCUUAGGUACGGAAUAACAGUGAGAAAUUACUGCUAAUACCGUAUGAUGUCUUCGGACCAAAGAUUUAUCGCCUAGGGAUGAGCCCGCGUUGGAUUAGCUAGUUGGUGGGGUAAAGGCCUACCAAGGCGACGAUCCAUAGCUGGUCUGAGAGGAUGAUCAGCCACACUGGGACUGAGACACGGCCCAGACUCCUACGGGAGGCAGCAGUGGGGAAUAUUGGACAAUGGGCGAAAGCCUGAUCCAGCAAUGCCGCGUGAGU
rnacentral:rRNA from 1 species